rnacentral:rRNA from 1 species
CCCUUAGAUGUUCUGGGCUGCACGCGCGCGACAAUGACGUUUGCAACGAGAUUGCGAGGCCGUCAGGUCGAGCUGAUCUUGCAAGCUGCGUCGUGAUAGGGACAGUCGAUUGCAAUUAUUCGACUCGAACGAGGAAUUCCUUGUAAUCGCGCAUCAUCAGUGCGCGCUGAAUACGUCCCUGCCCUUUGUACACACCGCCCGUCGCUACUACCGAUUGAAUGGUUUAGUGAGAUCUCCGGAUUGGCUCUGUAGGUCCCGCAAGGGAUUUAUUAGUAGCCAAGAAGCUGCUCAAACUUGAUCAUUUAGAGGAAGUAAAAGUCGUAACA